ACGGGAGGCAGCAGUGGGGAAUAUUGGGCAAUGGGGGGAACCCUGACCCAGCAACGCCGCGUGAAGGAAGAUGGCCUUCGGGUUGUAAACUUCUUUUACCAGGGACGAACACAAUGACGGUACCUGGAGAAAAAGCAACGGCUAACUACGUGCCAGCAGCCGCGGUAAUACGUAGGUUGCAAGCGUUGUCCGGAUUUACUGGGUGUAAAGGGCGUGUAGGCGGAGCUGCAAGUCAGAUGUGAAAUCCCGGGGCUCAACCCCGGAACUGCAUUUGAAACUGUAGCCCUUGAGUAUCGGAGAGGCAAGCGGAAUUCCUAGUGUAGCGGUGAAAUGCGUAGAUAUUAGGAGGAACACCAGUGGCGAAGGGGACUUGCUGGACUGUAACUGACGCUGAGGCACGAAAGCGUGGGGAGCAAACAGGAUUAGAUACCCUGGUA
rnacentral:rRNA from 1 species